rnacentral:ncRNA from 2 species
GUAUCGGCGGUCGAGGACGGUCGCAUCCGUACACACACGGAUGCCAGGGAACCCGGUGCGAAUCCGGGACUGGCGCGCAGCGGUGUGGGAGGUGGACCCGACACAGGCCACUGGCGGACGAGCACCGCUGGGAAGGCGUCGGGUCCGGUAUAUCCCGAGUCCGAAGACCUGCCGUUCUCGUUGCUGUCCA